CCCGGGGAGCGCCUCUGCCCCUGCGUUUCUCUUCUGGCAGCCUCCGCGCUUUGCGGGGAGAUGCGAGGUGCGCUCUGCCGUGCGGAUGGGAAGCGGGGCCUUGCUGGCUGAGGCCGGGCAUCAGCUCUGCGCUACGCACCCGUGCAUGCUGCAGCCGGUACAGGAGGCACACUGAAAAAUUCAGCACAGGCAGAAUAUGGACUGCUCUGCACUCCUAAAGGAAUUGCACUCCUAAAAUCAUGCUGCUACCGUUCUUUUAAGGUCUCCAGAUGGCUGUGACGUAAAGAAGAAACAUCCUGCGUGGAUUUCUUAAGAAUAAACAGUCUCCAUUGACUUUAAAAAGGAAUGCUUAUGACUCUCUAAUUAUUGCAAUCAGAGCCCUUUCCUAACGCCAGCAUCCCUCCACCACCACCACCACCUUCAGCAGGGAAGACACACAGGAGCCCCUCUGAAGCUGCUGUGAGGGACAUCAGAAGGGUGUAACGUUACAUAAAUCCCCUUUCCACACUGAUUUACGAUAGAAUUCACAUAGAUGUAAACCACGGCACGCCAGGACAGCCCAGGACAGCUUUCCCUGCAGAGCAUCCCUUUCCCCCCAGCCAGGUAAGCCACUGUCUCGCCUACUGAUGAAGGUGCCUCAUCACGCCUUUUGUGACCACGAUUUCAUUCUACAGGCAACUGCAGGUUAUACUUCUGUUACAAUGAAUGUAUGGUAUGCCAGGGAAUAUCAACUACAAAUCCAAAUUAUGAAAUAAGAAAAGGCAGACUACCGAGAAUUCAAAAUCUCGGGGGAAAAUAAAAUUAAAACCGCAAACAGCCAGUAACUAGACAUGGAAACACUGCAUGGUGUUAAAGAACACAUAUUCAUAUCUGUAGGUA